CCUACGGGAGGCAGCAGUGGGGAAUAUUGGACAAUGGGCGAAAGCCUGAUCCAGCCAUGCCGCGUGUGUGAAGAAGGCCUUCGGGUUGUAAAGCACUUUCAGUGGGGGAGAAAGCCUUGGGGCUAAUACCCUCGAGGAAGGACAUCACCCACAGAAGAAGCACCGGCUAACUCCGUGCCAGCAGCCGCGGUAAUACGGAGGGUGCGAGCGUUAAUCGGAAUUACUGGGCGUAAAGCGCGCGUAGGCGGUCUGAUAAGCCGGUUGUGAAAGCCCCGGGCUCAACCUGGGAACGGCAUCCGGAACUGUCAGGCUAGAGUGCAGGAGAGGAAGGUAGAAUUCCCGGUGUAGCGGUGAAAUGCGUAGAGAUCGGGAGGAAUACCAGUGGCGAAGGCGGGCUUCUAGACUGACACUGACGCUGAGGUGCGAAAGCGUGGGUAGCAAACAGGAUUAGAUACCCGUGUAGUC
rnacentral:rRNA from 1 species